rnacentral:rRNA from 1 species
AUUGAACGCUGGCGGCAUGCCUUACACAUGCAAGUCGAACGGCAGCACGGGUGCUUGCACCUGGUGGCGAGUGGCGAACGGGUGAGUAAUACAUCGGAACAUGUCCUGUAGUGGGGGAUAGCCCGGCGAAAGCCGGAUUAAUACCGCAUACGAUCUACGGAUGAAAGCGGGGGACCUUCGGGCCUCGCGCUAUAGGGUUGGCCGAUGGCUGAUUAGCUAGUUGGUGGGGUAAAGGCCUACCAAGGCGACGAUCAGUAGCUGGCCUGAGAGGACGACCAGCCACACUGGGACUGAGACACGGCACAGACUCCUACGGGAGGCAGCAGUGGGGAAUUUUGGACAAUGGGCGAAAGCCUGAUCCAGCAAUGCCGCGUGUGUGAAGAAGGCCUUCGGGUUGUAAAGCACUUUUGUCCGGAAAGAAAUCCUUGGCCCUAAUACGGUCGGGGGAUGACGGUACCGGAAGAAUAAGCACCGGCUAACUACGUG